AAUGUUGGACAGUUGUUGACUCAGAUUUCACAACAGACCAAUACUACUGACCCAACUGCAAUCCGGACACAGGUGCUCAGAGGGCUUCCAAUCAUCCUGGGGACAAUCCUUCAACCUUCUUCAAAGCAGGCUUUGAAUCAGAUGCUGAUUUUUUCCGUGACCUUGACAUCGGGAUUCUUCUCACUGAGCGUGAAGAGGCUGUGCUCACAUCUGCCCAGCAUCCAAGUCCAACCUUGUUGAAAAUUAUCAUUGAGGGAGAAGUCGUGAUGGAAAACAUCCAAGAUCUGCCUAAAGCAAUGUGCAUUCUGUUUGGACUCACGUAUGCACUCCAUCUUAACUAUCCUAAAAGUAUGAAGCUGACCUUUCUGUUCAUCCAACAGAUUUUGCUCUCAUUAGGCCACACUGACCUAAAGCCAAAGAUACAAUCUUUGAAAAAUCAGCUUACAAUGUAAAGUGAUGUCAUCUCUACUGUGACAUGUUUGUUUUUUUUCCUCACCUUUUUGGUUCUGUAAAACAGCCCAACAAAAAGGCACAAAACGCAGAAACAGACACAUUCAGCACCCAGUCAGAACAGUCCCAUACAACACCUACAAACAAAAAACACUACACAUAAACUUCUAUACACACACACACACACACACACACUUAGAUGCUUUAGAAGUGAGCAGAAGCAUGUGACGUGAAAGUAAAAAUUGAAGAGUUGUACCUGAAAGACAGACAUUGUUUAAGUUGUUGCAUCAUAAGUCUUUGUAGAUGGAGUUGGAUAUUGUUCUAAUUAGAAAGUCUUUGUUAGUAUGUCUGUUGACCUGCCUUAAUGUAGGCAGAUGGUGCAGAUCCUGUUUGUAACAGGGAAUUUUUGGGAAUUCUGUUUUUUGUUGGUUGUUACAUUCACCUACCACACAACACACACACAUUCAACUACCACACAAACACACACACAUUCAACUACCACACAAACACACACACAUUCAACUACCACACAAACACACACACAUUCAACUACCACACAGACAAAUUAACAUUGGCUUUGUUGUGGCUUUUUCUUAAAAAUAAAAUGCAUUGGAGCAUUUGAAGAUUUUGUUUUUUUUCCUAUCCAACUUCAUUGUAACAAUGUUUUUUAUAAUUCAUAAAAAAGUUAUUUUGUUAGAGGAAAA